GCUGAGCCUGUGCCUGGGGAGAGAUGCCUUCUCUAUGGGCACCACUGCUUAUUCUACAACCUGUCAGCAAGGAGUGAGCUAGGACUGGCCUCACAAGGCCUCCAUUGGAAUGGUCUGGCCUUCAGAAACCAACCAUGGCCUGAUUGCUGGUCCACAUGAGAAGAGCCAAAGCUCAGUUUCUCCAAUUGUAAAAUGAGAAGCCAAUCACUGACCUGCCUACUGCUCUAGCACAUAAUGAAAGUGGCAAUGUAUGAGUGAGGCCUGUAGCAGUGAUGCAUGCUGGGAGGGAUGCUCACUGGUCCCCAACUUUUUCCAGUGGAGUCCAGGAAAGCAAUUGAACCCGAAAGCUUCUGUUUGCCUCUUUGUUAAGGAUACACCAGUGUCUACCCCGUGGAGUUAUUUGGAAGACUGACCUAAAGCACACUAGGUUUAUACUCGUGUUCCGCAGGAAAAACAAACAAAACAAAACAAAACUCUCCCCAUCUUUUGAAAAUAUACCCUCUUAGCUCCAUUGCUCAGUUUUCGGACAUGAAAGCUCAGGACAGGAUACUGGAGAUGAGGCGCAUGGGCCCCUGUGCAAAGCCGGAAGCAGCACUGGGUGCUUGGACAGAGGGAAACAGGGAAAGUGCAAACUUCAAAGCACCAAACAGCUUCUCUUAGACUGUGUCUAAACACGAGAGCAGUGUCAAGCCUGGCCCUUCUGAUGACUACUCUCCGAGCCAGCUUCAUCUCUUCAGUCAUGCCAGCGUCUCCAGGGGGGCAACCAGAGAACUGUGGGAAGAGGAAUUGUUUUCCAUCCCUCCCUGGCUCUCCUCCAAAGCAGAGCUGCCCUCUGGGGAGACUGAUGUGAGCUGAUAAGCAGUGUCUGGGGAGAAAUUCUUGGCACCGAUUCCAUGUGGCUGAGCUCUUUAAAAGGCCAAGCUCCUGGGCUUGGGGCUGUAGCAUAGCUUCGCAUGCACGAGGCCCUGGGUUUAAUUACCAGCACCGCAGGGGGAGAAAAGACAUCCAUGUUCCUGCGAGCCUCACCAAAUCUGGCCUGUCGUGAGCAAGGCCUACAGACAAGAAGGCUGAGGCCUAGGGCUUCAUAUUGCAUGUCUGAAGGACACAGAAGAUGAACAGUGAGCAAGGGUCUAAACCCAGGGGCUAGGAGGUCACCAACGUUGUACUUUUUGACUUAAGAAAGAAUAGAACCAAGAAAAAAAAAGUGAGCUGGGCAGUUCUUGUGAGAUCUUGAGCCCCACGGUCACUUUCCGGAUGGCAAAGCUAAAAGUGGGAAGGGACAGUGUUGACAGUGGCACCAUGAGAAGGCCCAUGGUGAAUAGAGACCGAGAUGUAGCAGCCUUUUUCCUGGGGAGUCCAUUUACAACCAUUCCACAUA
rnacentral:lncRNA from 1 species